GGGGAAUUUUGCACAAUGGAGGAAACUCUGAUGCAGCAACGCCGCGUGAGUGAUGAAGGCCUUUGGGUUGUAAAGCUCUUUCGGUUGAGAAGAAGGGUGAUAUGGCUAAUAUCCAUGUCAUUUGACGGUAUCAAAAGAAGAAGCACCUGCUAACUUCGUGCCAGCAGCAGCGGUAAUACGAAGGGUGCAAGCGUUGUUCGGAAUUACUGGGCGUAAAGGGCGCGUAGGCUGGUUUGUAAGUCUAAUGUGAAAUCCCCGGGCUUAACCCGGGACGUGCAUUGGAGACUGCAGAUCUUGAAUGCUUGAGAGGGUGGUGGAAUUCCAGGAGUAGAAGUGAAAUUCGUAGAUAUCUGGAGGAACACCGGAGGCGAAGGCGGCCACCUGGCAAGACAUUGACGCUGAGGCGCGAAAGUGCGGGGAGCAAAC
rnacentral:rRNA from 1 species